rnacentral:lncRNA from 1 species
AUGGAUUGCCGCCCGUGCAGUGCCGGCAGCACAAACCGAGCGGAGCCGAGGGGAGCCCAGCCCAUCCCGCCUGGAGAUGACCGCGGUGCGCACCUGGUGCCGCCUGAACCGAAGUCCCCACCCAAACUCCAGGCCGGCAGCCCGCACAGGUCGCCCCACGCCCCGCGGCCCGGGAGAAGGCGGCACUCCCGGCCUCUGCCGCCCAGCGAGCCGGGCCGCCCCCGGCCCCACCCGGCUGCCACAGCCUUCGCUGCGCAGGGCGAGGCCGAAGGAAGGCGCGUUCCCCCCGGCCGGCGGCAGCGCUGCCCGCGGCUCGGCCCCCGCGCACCUGCCCGCGGCUCCUCCCGCGGCUCCUGCCCUGCGCCCGCUGCCCUCGGCCCCGCGCCCCUUCCGCCGCUGCACAAAGGCGCCGACAGCUGGCAGGCGGCUGCCGACGGCACACGUCGAGGGUCAAACCAGCUCCGAAGGCGUUGCGGAAUGCGCGAAAAUCUACGGAAACUGCGGAAGGACACUGAAAUCUGUGCAGUGAAACACCCAAUACCCCACUCGUCCACACCGUCAGGGCCGGCAAUCGGAAAGGAAUUAAUACGGAGAACGAGCGCGAAGCGACGCAGGAACAGGGCCGUUCCCGAGGCCCGGCGCCACACCCCUCUGGCGGGGCGCUGGCUGGCGAAAUCGCUUAGAGAACAACGACACCCAGCAUGCAGCGCGCACCGCUGGGAAGCUCUCGUCGCCGACGGUCCCCGGGCGUGGCCGCGGCUCUGCCGCGCGUUGCAUGAUGGGAGUUGUAGUCUUCCGGAGUGGGGACAAGCUAGCACCCUGCACUCGGCGUCCGCAGUACGCGGGGAGCGAGCGCCACCGCCUGCCGUGGAGUGCGUGCGCGCAUGCGCGCCGUGCUCCGGUUCGCUGGGGGCGGGGGCGUGCGGGGAGCUCCCCUCAGGGACGCCCCGGCAGCGGCCCCGGCAGCGGCCCCGGCAGGGCAGGGCGGGCCGAGGCGGGAUCCUUGUGCGGGACAGCGCCCUCACCUCUGCUUUGGCUUCCGGGCAGUGA